UUCGGGAUUGAUCCCGGAUGCUGGAACCCUCAAGGCUCACGGAGAAGAAACUGUGAAGAUACCAUUGACUUUGAUCUAUGAUGACAUCAAGAGCACUUACAACGAUAUCAACCCCGGGAUGAUCAUACCUUACAGGAUCAAGGUUGAUCUUAUUGUGGACGUGCCAGUAUUGGGAAGACUGACAUUGCCGCUGGAGAAAUGUGGAGAGAUCCCAAUUCCAAAGAAACCCGACGUUGAUAUCGAGAAGAUUAAGUUCCAGAAGUUCUCUUUGGAAGAAACCGUGGCGAUCCUCCACGUGAGGCUUGAGAACUUGAAUGAUUUCGACUUGGGGCUCAAUGACUUGGACUGUGAAGUUUGG
rnacentral:lncRNA from 1 species